UGUUCAGAUUCAUGCUCCUCCAAAGGCUCCUGCUUGAUGGUUACCGGCAGAACACCGGUGUCGCCCGGCACAAGAACAAUGUACCUUAAAGGUCCCAUGGGGAGUGACGUUCACCUGGAAGAUGUCAUACAGUAGGAAGCUGCGGAAUGUGAACACCUGGGGGCAGAACCUGCACGGAAAUCUUGGAUUUUCCAUCGGCUUCUUACGAGGCCGACGCUGCGGCUGUUGAUGCUGCCAAUGAUUCAAACAGUGA
rnacentral:lncRNA from 1 species